GAAGACUGAGCUCAGGCGGUGCCACCUCUCUGUCAGGGAGGUUGCACCGCCCAGUCUUGCUCGAAGACUGAGCUCAGGCGGUGCCACCUCCCGGCUGGAGAGGUUGCACCGCCCAGUCUCGCUGGGAGGCUUAGCCCAGGCGGUGCCACCUCCUGGCCUAGGCGGUUGCACCUCCUGGCACUAUUCCAGAUCAUUGGUUGGGCUCCAAACUUGGCCCAAACCAGUCCGAAUUCGGGCCCAAUUGGCCCAAGAUUAAGUUAAUGGGAUCACCUCCCAUUUUCCAACUUAAUCAACGUGCUAACUACGAUUAGUUCUAAGACAAUUUCUGCAGCUUUGCUUCGGUGCGUCAAUCGCUUCUUCCGGCGAGUUUCCGGCGAACUUCCGUCGAUCAUCCGAUGAACCCUCGGUGAUGCUCCUGCGGACUUCUGGCAAACUCCUGGACUUUGCGACGAUCCAC
rnacentral:lncRNA from 1 species